AGUGAACGCUGGCGGUAGGCCUAACACAUGCAAGUCGAACGGCAGCACAGUAAGAGCUUGCUCUUACGGGUGGCGAGUGGCGGACGGGUGAGGAAUACAUCGGACUCUACUUUUUCGUGGGGGAUAACGUAGGGAAACUUACGCUAAUAUCGCAUACGACCUCCGGGUGAAAGCAGGGGAUCUUCGGACCUUGCGCGAUUGAAUGAGCGGAUGUCGGAUUAGCUAGUUGGCGGGGUAAUGGCCCACCAAGGCGACGAUCCGUAGCUGGUCUGAGAGGAUGAUCAGCCACACUGGAACUGAGACACGGUCCAUACGCCUACGGGAGGCAGCAGUGGGGAAUAUGGGACAAUGGGCGCAAGCCUGAUCCAGCCAUACCGCGUGGGUGAAGAAGGCCUUCGGGUUGUAAAGCCCUUUUGUUGGGAAAGAAAAGCAGCAGGUUAAUAACCCGCUGUUCUGACGGUACCCAAAGAAUAAGCACCGGCUAACUUCGUG
rnacentral:rRNA from 1 species